rnacentral:rRNA from 1 species
GUUGUCCGGAUUUAUUGGGCGUAAAGCGAGCGCAGGCGGUUAGAUAAGUCUGAAGUUAAAGGCUGUGGCUUAACCAUAGUAUGCUUUGGAAACUGUUUAACUUGAGUGCAGAAGGGGAGAGUGGAAUUCCAUGUGUAGCGGUGAAAUGCGUAGAUAUAUGGAGGAACACCGGUGGCGAAAGCGGCUCUCUGGCUUGUAACUGACGCUGAGGCUCGAAAGCGUGGGGAGCAAACAGGGUUAGAUACCCUGGUAGUCCACGCCGUAAACGAUGAGUGCUAGGUGUUAGACCCUUUCCGGGGUUUAGUGCCGUAGCUAACGCAUUAAGCACUCCGCCUGGGGAGUACGACCGCAAGGUUGAAACUCAAAGGAAUUGACGGGGGCCCGCACAAGCGGUGGAGCAUGUGGUUUAAUUCGAAGCAACGCGAAGAACCUUACCAGGUCUUGACAUCCCUCUGACCGCUCUAGAGAUAGAGCUUUCCUUCGGGACAGAGGUGACAGGUGGUGCAUGGUUGUCGUCAGCUCGUGUCGUGAGAAG